rnacentral:rRNA from 1 species
UACGAAGGGAGCUAGCGUUGUUCGGAAUCACUGGGCGUAAAGCGCACGUAGGCGGAUGUGUCAGUCGGGGGUGAAAUCCCGGAGCUCAACUUCGGAACUGCCCUUGAUACAGCACGUCUUGAGUCCGAGAGAGGUGGAUGGAAUUCCUAGUGUAGAGGUGAAAUUCGUAGAUAUUAGGAAGAACACCGGUGGCGAAGGCGGUCCACUGGCUCGGUACUGACGCUGAGGUGCGAAAGCGUGGGGAGCAAACAGG